rnacentral:rRNA from 1 species
GACUUAGUGAUCCGGUGGUUCUGCGUGGAAGGGCCAUCGCUCAACGGAUAAAAGCUACCCUGGGGAUAACAGGCUUAUCUCCCCCAAGAGUCCACAUCGACGGGGAGGUUUGGCACCUCGAUGUCGGCUCAUCACAUCCUGGGGCUGUAGUAGGUCCCAAGGGUUGGGCUGUUCGCCCAUUAAAGUGGUACGCGAGCUGGGUUCAGAACGUCG